UACGGGGGGGGCAAGCAUUGUCCGGAAUCAUUGGGCGUAAAGCGCGCGUAGGCGGCCCGAUAAGUCUGCUGUGAAAGUCCAGGGCUCAACCCUGGAAUGCCGGUGGAUACUGUCGGGCUAGAGUUCGGAAGAGGCAAGUGGAAUUCCUGGUGUAGCGGUGGAAUGCGCGGAUAUCAGGAGGAACACCUAUAGCGAAGGCAGCUUGCUGGGACGACACUGACGCUAAGGCGCGAAAGCGUGGGGAGCGAACAGG
rnacentral:rRNA from 1 species